GACGUAGGGCGCGAGCGUUGUCCGGAUUUAUUGGGCGUAAAGAGCUCGUAGGCGGCUUGUCGCGUCGACCGUGAAAACUUGGGGCUCAACCCCAAGCCUGCGGUCGAUACGGGCAGGCUCGAGUUCGGUAGGGGAGACUGGAAUUCCUGGUGUAGCGGUGAAAUGCGUAGAUAUCAUUUGGAACGCCAAUGGUGAAAACAGGUAGCUGGGAGUGUGCUGACACUGAGACACGAAAGCCAGGGGAGCGAACGGG
rnacentral:rRNA from 1 species